UGGGGUGUAGCUCAGGGGUAGAGCAUGUGCUUAACAUGUGUGAGGCCCUGGGUUUGAUCCCCAGCACCACAA
rnacentral:tRNA from 1 species